GUGACCUAAACAACACUCUUCUCUCCCACUCUGAGAAACUCCCCGAUUUCGCGUGACUCCGUCGUGCUAAUGGCGGCGGACUGAACCGAACGUUUAGCCACUCCAAACAAAACUCCACACCUUCUUUCUUCCGAUUCUAUCCUCUAUUUUCCCAUAGCCUCAUCGAAUCUCCCUAAUCGGAACCAUCCGUAUGAGGAGCCUAGAUGUCAAAUUCGGGAAUGAACGAUGGCGACGCGAAAUCCGGUUCCCCUAGCAUAUCGUUAAUAUUACCAGAUGACGACGACUUUGGAGGUGAUCAUCAAGAACAAGAUGAAGAGUAUACCUUCAGGGAAAACUGUUGCGGUGAUGGUGGAAUUGGAAUACACAGAUACGAGUCGCACUUGGAGUUGGAAUCGCAGCGGCACUAGAUGAAAGUGAGAGAGGGUCGCGCUUCCAGAUUGUGAACCGUGGCCUGUUGCAGGUUCUGAUGGUUGAUUGAAUACAGAUUGGUGAUGGGAGGUUGAGGAUUGAAGGGGAUAUGAAGAUGAUGAAGAAGAGAAAAAUUGAAGAUUUGUAAAUAUGAAGUAGAAGAGAAAGAUUGAAGAUGGAAGAGUGAAGAAAAUCAACCCCCUUGAAGAUGAUUGAAGGUUGUUGAUUGGAUGAGAUUGCUAUGGAUUGGUCUUACCUUUUAACUGUAGGUUACGAACUGUUUUGGCAUUGUAGGGCUUUGUUAAUGCAGAGAGCCUUUCGGUAGCCCACAUUUGAUGCCUGAAUGUAAUCCGUCAACAAGACGGAAGGUCCGCCUGAGGUAACGUCUUGGCGUUUCGGUGGGUAGCGGCUCGAUUGGGAUUUAGCGAAUCCUGUGUUGGACUAGGGAGUGCAUUGUAAAUUGCAUUGCCUUUGGAUAAGUUAUGUAUUAAAUAUGUUGAAUAUCAAAGAUGUUAAAAACUCCAAAUACCAUUUAUAUUAAUAGUUUGAAUUAA